rnacentral:rRNA from 1 species
GAUGAACGCUGGCGGCGUGCCUAAUACAUGCAAGUCGAGCGAACAGACGAGGAGCUUGCUCCUCUGACGUUAGCGGCGGACGGGUGAGUAACACGUGGAUAACCUACCUAUAAGACUGGGAUAACUUCGGGAAACCGGAGCUAAUACCGGAUAAUAUAUUGAACCGCAUGGUUCAAUAGUGAAAGACGGUUUUGCUGUCACUUAUAGAUGGAUCCGCGCCGCAUUAGCUAGUUGGUAAGGUAACGGCUUACCAAGGCGACGAUGCGUAGCCGACCUGAGAGGGUGAUCGGCCACACUGGAACUGAGACACGGUCCAGACUCCUACGGGAGGCAGCAGUAGGGAAUCUUCCGCAAUGGGCGAAAGCCUGACGGAGCAACGCCGCGUGAGUGAUGAAGGUCUUCGGAUCGUAAAACUCUGUUAUUAGGGAAGAACAAAUGUAUAAGUAACUAUGCACAUCUUGACGGUACCUAAUCAGAAAGCCACGGCUAACUACGUG